rnacentral:rRNA from 1 species
GACGAACGCUGGCGGUGUGCUUAACACAUGCAAGUCGAACGGUAAGGCCCUUUCGGGGGUACACGAGUGGCGAACGGGUGAGUAACACGUGAGUAACCUGCCCUCAUCUCUGGGAUAACAGUCGGAAACGGUUGCUAAUACUGGAUAUGAGCUUGCAAGGCAUCUUGUGGGUUGGAAAGAUUUUUUUGGUUGGGGAUGGACUCGCGGCCUAUCAGCUUGUUGGUGAGGUAGUGGCUCACCAAGGCUUCGACGGGUAGCCGGCCUGAGAGGGCGACCGGCCACAUUGGGACUGAGAUACGGCCCAAACUCCUACGGGAGGCAGCAGUGGGGAAUAUUGCACAAUGGACGGAAGUCUGAUGCAGCAACGCCGCGGGCGGGAUGACGGCCUUCGGGUUGUAAACCGCUUUCAAUUGUGACGAAGCUUUUUGUGACGGUAGCAGUAGAAGAAGCACCGGCUAACUACGUG